rnacentral:rRNA from 1 species
UACGUAGGUGGCAAGCGUUAUACGGAUUUAUUGGGCGUAAAGGGAACGCAGGCGGUCUUUUAAGUCUGAUGUGAAAGCCUUCGGCUUAACCGGAGUAGUGCAUUGGAAACUGGGAGGCUUGAGUGCAGAAGAGGAGAGUGGAACUCCAUGUGUAGCGGUGAAAUGCGUAGAUAUAUGGAAGAACACCAGUGGCGAAAGCGGCUCUCUGGUCUGUAACUGACGCUGAGGUUCGAAAGCGUGGGUAGCAAACAGG